GUACCUACAGUCUAUUUUAUUUCGUUGUGCUUUCCAACCAAAAAUAUGACAAAGUUUUCGUCCUUAUAGAUAAGUUAAAUAUAGAAAGAUCUAUUCAUUUAUUAUUCGUUCUAAGAUUAUUUUGUCUAUUAUGUAGGUAUUGCCCUUCAUUGCAAGAAAAUAAUUAAUCAGAAGAAAAAUAUUUAACAAAGCUUAAUUGUUGCAGGUUCUUUGUUCGGGUCCUGCUUAGGUCAUUAACAACAUUACUAACCACUGUUAGCAAAUUUUUUAAGCAAUUUGUUUUUGCAGUGUAUACAAGGGGAUUCUAGUCAUGCAUUAGGGUCUUGACUCAUGACAUCAAUAAGAAUGCUGAUAAUGUGUCACUAUCAGUAUGUUAUUCUUUUAUUAUACUGUAAAAUAAUUCUUGUAAAAACUCUUUACCAAACAGUUAUUUCUUUUUGCAGGGUGCCUAUGCUACAACUCUUCCCGAAGAAAGGCAGAGAGAGAGACACACUAAUGACCUUAGCGGUGGCUUACUACAAGCUGCAACUCACAGAAGAGCAACUAUUAUGAAUAUCUUUGUAUAUCAACAGUUCUUCAAACCAUACAGACAGAAUUGAGUUGCUGGGGAGUUUGUUCCACCGCUUCUGCUGCUGAUUUUCAGCCUAUUUUGAAUAAAUGACUUUAUCUGUAGCCUUAAUUUUAUGUAAAUAAACCUUUACCUCUGUGUAAAUGAUUGUCUCAUUUUAUUUUUUGUCUUAAGAGUUGUUGCUUAUAUCACACAAGCAACAAAUAGGUAGGUACUAUAAUUAUUAUUGCCAUAAUUAUACUUUGAAAACAAAGCAUGAGAGUUUUGCUAGAAUGAAACCAACAAGUCUGGAGAACUAUUACUAGUAAAUGAAUAUUAUUUAAAGACACUUACUAAUAGAAUGUUUCUCGUGUCAGCAUUGUAUGCCAAGAACUCGUUCUUUUCCAUAUUUUUUCAGCAGCUUUUGAAUACGGACCUAUUCUUCUUUAUCGUGGCCUUCUUUUCCCAAUGGAUCGCGAUACUAUCUUCUCUGUUUAUUGGAUGGGACUUCGUACGCUGUAAAUAAACAGGUUUUGUAACGACGAAAGUAAAAACACUUCGGACAAUAAUAUAGGGAAGCAAGAUAACAGUGAGGAACGCAUUGAACUGUGCAUGGCAAAGUUUUCAUCAGACAAUGCCUCCAAUCACCAUUUAUUGAGAUUAUUAUGUUAUUUUCCUUUGUUCUUUUCAUCGUAUGUAUGGAUAAUUAUUAUGUUCGUUUGGAUUAAUUACACACAACUAUUGGAAUAAUCAGUACUUUAUUUAUUUAAUCACAAAAUCUACUUACUUUUUCCUUGCCGCACGCAGUAAUCACCAAUAUUUAAAUAAGUAAAAUCAACAACAAAAAUCGUUUUUUGUAAACAAACAAACAUGAACCAUUUUAGUUCCACAGAUAAAAAUAAGUUCGAUGAAUACGUUUUGUUGUUACUUUGAGUUACGUGAGUUUAUGUAUAGGUUCAUGCGUGAAAAAUAGUGCAUUGACACAUUUUUUUUGGCUAACUAAACGUAAAUUCAUCGCAGAACGACCCAUCACUAGCUACUUAUCCGUUGCUAUGGAAAGUCUUUCUCUUGAUAGAAACGCGAGUCUACAGCUCGCGCCAUGCUCGGGUAGAAGACAUGUCGAGUGGGAAAGAAAGAGCUUUGUCGUUUCUUGGAAGAAUAGAGAUAGAAUCGCCAUGCUGAGGUGGCAGG
rnacentral:lncRNA from 1 species